rnacentral:rRNA from 1 species
AUACGUAGGGGGCGCGCGUUGUCCGGAAUGAUUGGGCGUAAAGGGCGCGUAGGCGGCGCGGUAAGUCUGGAGUGAAAGUCCUGCUUUCAAGGUGGGAAUUGCUUUGGAUACUGCCGCGCUUGAGUGCAGGAGAGGAUAUCGGAAUUCCCGGUGUAGCGGUGAAAUGCGUAGAGAUCGGGAGGAACACCAGCGGCGAAGGCGGGUAACUGGACUGCAACUGACGCUGAGGCGCGAAAGUGUGGGGAGCAAACAGGAUUAGAUACCCUGGUAGUCCACACUGUAAACGAUGAAUGCUAGGUGUAAGAGGUAUCGACCCCUUUUGUGCCGGAGUCAACACAAUAAGCAUUCCGCCUGGGGAGUACGGCCGCAAGGUUGAAACUUAAAGGAAUUGGCGGGG